rnacentral:SRP_RNA from 1 species
GCUGGCUGUGGUGGCACAUGCCUCUAGUCCCAUCUACUUGGGAGGCUUAAGUAGGAGAAUUUCUUGAGCCAGGAGCUCUGGGCUUAGUGCACUGUGCUGGUCCAUUGUUCGCACUAAGUUCAUUGUCAAUAAGAUGAUACUACCAGGUUACUCAAGGAGGGGUGAACCAGCCCAGGCCAGAAAGGGAACAGGUCAUAACUUCCAUGCUGACCUGUAUAGUAGGAUCACACCGGUGAAUAGCCAUUGCACUCCAGCCUGGGCAACAGAGUGAGGCCCUUCUCUAU